GAGUUUGAUCGUGGCUCAGAACGAACGCUGGCGGCAUGCCUAACACAUGCAAGUCGAACGCCCCGCAAGGGGAGGUGGCGAACGGGUGAGUAACGCGUGGGAACCUACCCAGCAGUUGGGGGAGUAAACCGCGGGGAAACUGCGGCUAAUACCGAAUACGUCCUACGGGAGAAAGAUUUAUCGCUGUUGGAGGGGCCCGCGUCGGAUUAGCUAGUUGGUGAGGUAACGGCUCACCAAGGCUGCGAUCCGUAGCUGGUCUGAGAGGAUGAUCAGCC
rnacentral:rRNA from 1 species